rnacentral:lncRNA from 1 species
AACAACAACAACAACAAACAAAAACAACAACAACAAAAAAAACAGAGAGCCCAAAGAGAAGAAAUAAAGAUGCUGUCAGAGAUGGAACAUAGUGGCAGUAAAAGAAAGGACAACCAGUAGACAGGAAAGAAAAAAAACUCCAAGACCCGGAGUUUCUGUCCAUGUCCAAUGCAUUCAAGAUUCUUCUGCAAAUCUGAACAGUCAAAGCCUGAAGUACAUGGAGGAAAGAAGAAAUCCAUUUGAAUGGAAGAAGCAUUCCAAGUGACAGAAUGUAUCAGAACAUUUAAAGACGAAAGAAGGACAUCAUUUUGAAUCAUGAGGCCUACUGGAAAAAUAAACAACAAAAAACAAGCAAGCAAAAUACAGUGGAGAGAGCUGAUAGAGCAGUAGAAAGUCUCCUGGAAUAUCCCCACAGGCUGCUGGUGUCUGAUCCUAGAAAGAAAAGUUCAGAGAAUGAGAACCCCUGGACUGUCUCAAAAAAAAGAAAAAAGAAAAAAACAGAAACGCGACAUGCUCUAAAAAGGAAUAUUUAACCUGGAUUAAUUCAUAAAAUAAUAGGAGAAAAUUUUUGCAGCCAGAAUACUAUGAAUUUGAGUUGGUUGAAGAACAACCUCAUCUUUUAAAGCAGAGAAGUUUUCUCAGAUAUGUUUUCCAGAAUGCCAAAUCGUAAGUAAAUUGAUGAGAAAACUGUGGCUCAAAAGUUAUGUUACUUGUUAGACAUCACCAGACAUUUAAGUGGUUUUUGGGGAACAGGUGGUAUCUGGUCACAUGA